UACGUAGGGUGCGAGCGUUGUCCGGAAUUAUUGGGCGUAAAGAGCGUGUAGGCGGCCACUUAAGUCCUGCGUGAAAUCUUGCGGCUCAACCGCAAGCGGUCGUGGGAAACUGGGUGGCUAGAGUGCGGGAGAGGAGAGUGGAAUUCCUGGUGUAGCGGUGGAAUGCGCAGAUAUCAGGAAGAACACCCGUGGCGAAGGCGGCUCUCUGGAACGCAACUGACGCUGAGACGCGAAAGCGUGGGGAGGCAAACAGG
rnacentral:rRNA from 1 species